rnacentral:rRNA from 1 species
UACGUAGGGUCCGAGCGUUUGUCCGGAAUUAUUGGGCGUAAAGGGCUCGUAGGCGGUUUGUCGCGUCGGGAGUGAAAUCUUACAGCUUAACUGUGAACUUGCUUCCGAUACGGGCAGACUUGAGGCAUUCAGGGGAGAACGGAAUUCCUGGUGUAGCGGUGAAAUGCGCAGAUAUCAGGAGGAACACCGAUGGCGAAGGCAGGUCUCUGGGCAUUAACUGACGCUGAGGAGCGAAAGCGUGGGGAGCGAACAGG